GAUGAACGCUGGCGGCGUGCCUAAUACAUGCAAGUCGAGCGAACGGACGAGAAGCUUGCUUCUCUGAUGUUAGCGGCGGACGGGUGAGUAACACGUGGAUAACCUACCUAUAAGACUGGGAUAACUUCGGGAAACCGGAGCUAAUACCGGAUAAUAUUUUGAACCGCAUGGUUCAAAAGUGAAAGACGGUCUUGCUGUCACUUAUAGAUGGAUCCGCGCUGCAUUAGCUAGUUGGUAAGGUAACGGCUUACCAAGGCAACGAUGCAUAGCCGACCUGGGAGGGUGAUCGGCCACACUGGAACUGAGACACGGUCCAGACUCCUACGGGAGGCAGCAGGAGGGAAUCUUCCGCAAUGGGCGAAAGCCUGACGGAGCAACGCCGCGUGAGUGAUGAAGGUCUUCGGAUCGUAAAACUCUGUUAUUAGGGAAGAACAUAUGUGUAAGUAACUGUGCACAUCUUGACGGUACCUAAUCAGAAAGCCACGGCUAACUACGU
rnacentral:rRNA from 1 species